rnacentral:rRNA from 1 species
AUGCGCCAUGCCCUUUCCUCCCACCUCCGGCGGCGGACCAUGGAUCUGCCUCCGCAGGGGCGGCCACCAGUGGGAAAGCGGAGCAUCGGCAACAACCACCUCUGGCCUCCUGCUCCUCCCAGCAGCGCGGAGACCACCUCUGUCGCCCUGAGUUCCCAGCUGCAUGCAUUCAGGAGCAAGAAAAAUGAGAGGUUAAUUGUCCGUCCACACUGCCUCUCCUUCCAACUCCACACUAGUUUUAUCACAAAAAGCAGAGGAUGUCUAUUUUAUUUCCUGAAACACAAAGUAGGUGUUCUCAGUUCAGUCCGUGAGCUAUCUCAAGAUCUUGGAAAACAUAUAAAACAGUACUGUGUUUGUGCAAAAAUUUCAGAUUGUUUUCUAAUUAUACAGCAGUUUACUAUAUGGUAG